AAAUAUUUAGCUCAGUUGGUUAGAGACAGGGAUUUAUAAUCCCAGUGUCCCUGGUUCGAGCCCAGGUGGGACCA